GUCCACGCCGUAAACGAUGUCGAUUUGGAGGCUGUGUCCUUGAGACGUGGCUUCCGGAGCUAACGCGUUAAAUCGACCGCCUGGGGAGUACGGCCGCAAGGUUAAAACUCAAAUGAAUUGACGGGGGCCCGCACAAGCGGUGGAGCAUGUGGUUUAAUUCGAUGCAACGCGAAGAACCUUACCUGGCCUUGACAUGUCUGGAAUCCUGUAGAGAUACGGGAGUGCCUUCGGGAAUCAGAACACAGGUGCUGCAUGGCUGUCGU
rnacentral:rRNA from 1 species